rnacentral:snRNA from 1 species
GUAAUUGCUUCAGCAGUACNUACACUAAAAUUAUAACGAUACCGAGAUUACCAUGAUCCCUGUGCAAGGAUGACACACAAAUUUGUGAAGCAUCCCAUAUAUUU